AUGAGUAACAUAACCAUCUCCCUCAUGAACUGGAACAUCCGUGGCCUGAACUCACCGGCCAAGAGGGCAACCAUCUGCGAGUCUGCCAGCGCUCAUAGCCUCGCUCUCCUCUGCCUACAAGCGACCAAGAUCGAUACCUGGACACAAGAUAUCGUCAGAGAGAUCGGCGGUGGCCGCCUAGACAACUGUGAUGUGCUCCCGGCGGUGGGUACUCGCGGCAGGGCAACGAUCUUCUGGGACUCCUCCAAAGUCGUCGUGGCCACGCACUUGGUUGGGCAGUUCUCCAUCACCGCCAGCGUCUCCCAGCUGCACACCAACACCUCUUUCUGGUUAACAACCGUGUACGACCCCGCUGAUGAAGCCAGGAAAGAUGAGUUCCUCGACGAGAUGAUCAGAAUCAGGCCACCCCAAGGUGAACCAUGGCUGAUCAAUGGAGACUUUAACAUCAUCUAUGAGGCAAGAGACAAGAGCAACCACAACCUCAACAGAAGAGUAAUGGGCAGAUUCAGAGACGCUAUUGACAGGGCAAGUCUGAGAGAAAUCAAAUGCCAGAACAGACGCUUCACCUGGAGCAAUGAAAGGGAAAACCCAACCUUUCUUGCAAUCGACAAAGUUUUCAGUAACCAGGAGUGGGAAGCCUUAUUCCCAGCGCUCAUUCUCAUGGCUGCGUUCACUUCUUGCUUGGAUCACUACCAUCUGCUUCUGACAGGCGCCGCGGUGCCACCCCGCAAGGCAUGGCAGAGGCCAGUAAACCACAGUUGCCUUUUUACCAGGAUGAAAAUCAAGCUUAAGAGAACGGCG
rnacentral:rRNA from 1 species